GAAAUUGUUCUACUGUGGCAGAAGAAAUAAGGCUGCCCUCCCUAGAAACCUUCGGCAGAGGAUUGCAGACUACCUUCAAGAAAGUUUCCUUGAGAUCUCCAUGGAGAAUUCACAGGACAUCCUGGUGCACAUAAACAAACUAUUC